rnacentral:tRNA from 1 species
GGGCGAUUAGCUCAGCGGCAGAGCGCUGCCUUCACACGGCAGAGGGGGCAGGAUCAACACCUGCAUCGCCCACCA